ACAGGUUAAUAUUCCUGUACUUGGUGUUACUGCGAAGGGGGGACGGAGAAGGCUAUGUUGGCCGGGCGACGGUUGUCCCGGUUUAAGCGUGUAGGCUGGUUUUCCAGGCAAAUCCGGAAAAUCAAGGCUGAGGCGUGAUGACGAGGCACUACGGUGCUGAAGCAACAAAUGCCAUGCUUCCAGGAAAAGCCUCUAAGCAUCAGGUAACAUCAAAUCGUACCCCAAACCGACACAGGUGGUCAGGUAGAGAAUACCAAGGCGCUUGAGAGAACUCGGGUGAAGGAACUAGGCAAAAUGGUGCCGUAACUUCGGGAGAAGGCACGCUGAUAUGUAGGUGAAGCGACUUGCUCGUGGAGCUGAAAUCAGUCGAAGAUACCAGCUGGCUGCAACUGUUUAUUAAAAACACAGCACUGUGCAAACACGAAAGUGGACGUAUACGGUGUGACGCCUGCCCGGUGCCGGAAGGUUAAUUGAUGGGGUCAGCGCAAGCGAAGCUCUUGAUCGAAGCCCCGGUAAACGGCGGCCGUAACUAUAACGGUCCUAAGGUAGCGAAAUUCCUUGUCGGGUAAGUUCCGACCUGCACGAAUGGCGUAAUGAUGGCCAGGCUGUCUCCACCCGAGACUCAGUGAAAUUGAACUCGCUGUGAAGAUGCAGUGUACCCGCGGCAAGACGGAAAGACCCCGUGAACCUUUACUAUAGCUUGACACUGAACAUUGAGCCUUGAUGUGUAGGAUAGGUGGGAGGCUUAGAAGUGUGGACGCCAGUCUGCAUGGAGCCGACCUUGAAAUACCACCCUUUAAUGUUUGAUGUUCUAACGUUGACCCGUAAUCCGGGUUGCGGACAGUGUCUGGUGGGUAGUUUGACUGGGGCGGUCUCCUCCUAAAGAGUAACGGAGGAGCACGAAGGUUGGCUAAUCCUGGUCGGACAUCAGGAGGUUAGUGCAAUGGCAUAAGCCAGCUUGACUGCGAGCGUGACGGCGCGAGCAGGUGCGAAAGCAGGUCAUAGUGAUCCGGUGGUUCUGAAUGGAAGGGCCAUCGCUCAACGGAUAAAAGGUACUCCGGGGAUAACAGGCUGAUACCGCCCAAGAGUUCAUAUCGACGGCGGUGUUUGGCACCUCGAUGUCGGCUCAUCACAUCCUGGGGCUGAAGUAGGUCCCAAGGGUAUGGCUGUUCGCCAUUUAAAGUGGUACGCGAGCUGGGUUUAGAACGUCGUGAGACAGUUCGGUCCCUAUCUGCCGUGGGCGCUGGAGAACUGAGGGGGGCUGCUCCUAGUACGAGAGGACCGGAGUGGACGCAUCACUGGUGUUCGGGUUGUCAUGCCAAUGGCACUGCCCGGUAGCUAAAUGCGGAAGAGAUAAGUGCUGAAAGCAUCUAAGCACGAAACUUGCCCCGAGAUGAGUUCUCCCUGACCCUUUAAGGGUCCUGAAGGAACGUUGAAGACGACGACGUUGAUAGGCCGGGUGUGUAAGCGCAGCGAUGCGUUGAGCUAACCGGUACUAAUGAACCGUGAGGCUUAACCUUACAACGCCGAAGCUGUU
rnacentral:rRNA from 1 species